UACGUAGGGUGCGAGCCUUGUCCGGAAUUACUGGGCGUAAAGAGCUCGUAGGUGGUUUGUCGCGUUGUUCGUGAAAACUCACAGCUCAACUGUGGGCGUGCGGGCGAUACGGGCAGACUGGAGUACUGCAGGGGAGACUGGAAUUCCUGGUGUAGCGGUGGAAUGCGCAGAUAUCAGGAGGAACACCGGUGGCGAAGGCGGGUCUCUGGGCAGUAACUGACGCUGGAGGAGCGAAAGCGUGGGUAGCAAACAGG
rnacentral:rRNA from 1 species